GCCUACGGGGGGCAGCAGUAGGGAAUCUUCCACAAUGGGCGAAAGCCUGAUGGAGCAACGCCGCGUGGGUGAAGAAGGUCUUCGGAUCGUAAAACCCUGUUGUUAGAGAAGAAAGUGCGUGAGAGUAACUGUUCACGUUUCGACGGUAUCUAACCAGAAAGCCACGGCUAACUACGUGCCAGCAGCCGCGGUAAUACGUAGGUGGCAAGCGUUAUCCGGAUUUAUUGGGCGUAAAGGGAACGCAGGCGGUCUUUUAAGUCUGAUGUUAAAGCCUUCGGCUUAACCGGAGUAGAGCAUUGGAAACU
rnacentral:rRNA from 1 species